rnacentral:sRNA from 1 species
AUGUCAUAGUUCUUUCUAUGGUUAUAAUAAGUUUUGUGGUUCGUGUGUCUCUUGUGUGGAUUUUCUUUUUUUUGCUCUGUGUAGCAGAAAGAACUUAUAAACAGCGUCGAGGUCCUCAGCGAUCAGUUGAUGUAAUAGUUUCAUCUGCUUUCUUAUUGACUAUCUCAGUUGUAUUUAUCUGUUGUGCCCAGCUACUUCAUGUACACGAGAUCUUCCUUGACUGUCACUACAAUUGGGAAUUGGUAAUCUGGUGCAUCUCGUUAACACUUUUUCUCCUAAGAUUUGUUACCCUUGGAUCAGAAACAAGUAAAAAAUAUAGCAAUACCUCAAUAUUACUUACUGAACAGAUAAACCUGUACUUGAAAAUGGAGAAAAAACCUAACAAAAAGGAGGAACUGACACUAGUGAAUAAUGUUUUAAAACUGGCUACUAAACUGCUAAAGGAGUUGGACAGUCCUUUUAGAUUAUAUGGGCUUACGAUGAAUCCGCUGCUUUAUAACAUCACCCAGGUUGUUAUCUUGUCAGCUGUUUCUGGUGUUAUCAGUGACUUGCUUGGAUUUAAUUUAAAGCUGUGGAAGAUUAAAUCAUGACGAUUCAAAGAAAAGA